rnacentral:rRNA from 1 species
UAGUCCACGCGGUAAACGAUGGGUACUAGGUUUGGUGGGUCUUGACCCCCGCCGAACCGGAGCUAACGCAAUAAGUACCCCGCCUGGGAAGUACGGUCGCAAGACUAAAACUCAAAGGAAUUGACGGGGGCCCGCACAAGCGGUGGAUCAUGUGGUUUAAUUCGAAGCAACGCGAAGAACCUUACCUGGAUUUGACAUCCUUGGACCUCCCUAGAGAUAGGGCUUUCGUAGCAAUACGACCAAGUGACAGGUGCUGCAUGGCUGUCGUCAGCUCGUGUGGUGACAUGUUGGGUUAAGUCCCGCAACGAGCGCAACCCUUGUCUUUAGCUGCCAGCAUUUAGUUGGGCACUCUAAAGAGACUGCCGUGGUUAACACGGAGGAAGGUGGGGAUGACGUCAAGUCCUCAUGGCCUUUAUAUCCAGGGCGACACACGUGAUACAAUGGACGGUACAGAGGGACGCCAAGAGGCAACUCGGAGCUAAUCUCAAAAAGCCGUUCUCAGUUCGGAUUGGAGUCUGCAACUCGACUCC